CAUGCAAGUCGAACGCAGUAGCAAUACUGAGUGGCAAACGGGUGAGUAUAAUGUGGGAAUCUGCCUUUUGGUUUGGAAUAACACGGGGAAACUUGUGCUAAUACCGAAUAAGCCCUUACGGGGAAAGUUUUAAUGCCAAAAGAUGAGCCCGCACUUGAUUAGCUAGUUGGUAAGGUAAAAGCUUACCAAGGCUACGAUCAAUAGCUGUUCUUAGAGGAAGACCAGCCACAUUGGGACUGAGACACGGCCCAGACUCCUACGGGAGGCAGCAGUGGGGAAUCUUGCACAAUGGGGGAAACCCUGAUGCAGCGAUGCCGCGUGAGUGAAGAAGGCCUUUGGGUUGUAAAACUCUUUCGUCGGGGAAGAAAAUGACUGUACCCGAAUAAGAAGGUCCGGCUAACUUCGUGCCAGCAGCCGCGGUAAUACGAAGGGACCUAGCGUAGUUCGGAAUUACUGGGCUUAAAGAGCUCGUAGGUGGUUAAAAAAGUUGAUGGUGAAAUCCCAAGGCUCAACCUUGGAACUGCCAUCAAAACUUUUUAGCUAGAGUGUGAUAGAGGUAAGUGGAAUUUCUAGUGUAGAGGUGAAAUUCGUAGAUAUUAGAAAGAACACCAAAUGCGAAGGCAACUUACUGGGUCACUACUGACACUGAGGAGCGAAAGCAUGGGUAGCGAAGAGGAUUAGAUACCCUCGUAGUCCAUGCCGUAAACGAUGUGUGCUAGACGUUGGAAAUAUAUUUUUCAGUGUCGCAGCGAAAGCAUUAAGCACACCGCCUGGGGAGUACGACCGCAAGGUUAAAACUCAAAU
rnacentral:rRNA from 1 species